rnacentral:ncRNA from 1 species
AGAUUUUGGUAUCCGCAAGGAGAAAAGGGAAUCCGGUGCAAGUCCGGAACGAACCCGUCACUGUAACAGGGAGCAAAGCACAAAACCAUUGGAAGCGAUUCCGAGAAGGUGUGUUAGCUGAGAUCUGAAGUCAGGAGACCUGCCAGAGUCUA